rnacentral:rRNA from 1 species
GGUCCAGCCUGCCCAGUGACUCUGUUCAACGGCCGCGGUAUCCUAACCGUGCGAAGGUAGCGUAAUCACUUGUUCUUUAAUUGAGGACUAGUAUGAAUGGCAUCACGAGGGUUACACUGUCUCCUCCCUCUAAUCAGUGAAACUAAUCUCCCCGUGAAGAGGCGGGGAUAAACCUAUAAGACGAGAAGACCCUAUGGAGCUUUAAACACAACAUCAACUGCCCUUCCCCUUUUAAUUCCCGAAAUAAUUAUUUACCAAAGCAUUUUGAUUGUAAGUUUUAGGUUGGGGUGACCGCGGAGCAAAAAAUAACCUCCACAGUGAAUGGGCCUUUCUCCCUAAACCCAGGGCCACAACCCCAAGAAUCAAUAAAUUGACACCUAUUGACCCAAUUUCUUUGACCAAUGAACCAAGUUACCCUAGGGAUAACAGCGCAAUCCACUUCAAGAGCCCCUAUCGACAAGUGGGUUUACGACCUCGAUGUUGGAUCAGGGUAUCCCAGUGGUGCAGCCGCUACUAAAGGUUCGUUUGUUCAACGAUUAAAACCCUACGUGAUCUG